CAAAAGCUGCUUUUGAUGCAGUUUUUUGGUGGUUGGCUCUCUGUGCUGUGAUCACACAUUGCUGGGCAAUACAAAUUUUUUUCAGCCAAGUCUGUUUUGCCUGCAAUGAUAACUGGAUGAUGCCUUUCUUUGGUGCUAUAGCACAAUGGUUAGAGCACUCAGGAUGUGGGAGAGCAGUCAGGUGGUUUCCCAUGGGCAUCUUUAUACUGUUCCUGUUGCACUGAAAAAAAAAAUUAGAUCUGACCAAAAAAAGAGGAAAUGCAGGUAGACAUGUUUUGUUG